UGGCAUCCUACACAUGUUGCCUCUAGUGAGC
rnacentral:piRNA from 1 species